AGACGCAUCGACGUAACGCAAGCAAGAAUGUCGUCUCGUGAACGGUAAACUUUUAAACGGUUCGAACAACUCCGUAAACAGAAUCCAUAAGGAAGCCAUCUUGCGUAUGAAAGUUAUAAAAACUCGUUCCACUAUGCCAUUCUUACGCGUUCGACGCGUUAAAAGAGAAAUGUAAAUGAGAAACUUAUUUAAAAAAAUUUUCAAUUUUCAAAAUAGAACAUUUACUUGGAGGUCGUGGAUACGGAAUUGAUCGUUAUCUUGAUGAAACGACUACGAUAAGAACAGCUUUUUACGGACCGUUUCGAAGAGAUUAAUCAAUACGAAUUUCGUUUCCGCAUGUUGAACCGCGAAGUGGACGACACGUGACUGAAAAAGGAAAGCAAUUCGUAAAUUGAACUCGCGCGCAGAAUGGCUCUCGAUGGCGCCUCAUCGUCAGAGAUGUUCAAGGGGCCUCGAAUCGUUUGAGGAUGAUGUGUUGUUCAGAUAUCGUUACAAUGACGAAAGUGCAAGAAAAAGAAGCUUUUUAUGGGAAGAAUGAAUUCGAAUGAAGUUUUAAAGUCUUUUUUUUGUAGAGAAAGAUAUAUUAUUAAAAUACAAAAAAAUAAGUUUCUUCUAAGAUUUAAAGUUAGGUUAUUGUAAUUUCGUAAACGAAAAAAUAUUAUAUUUGAUAAAAUUGCAUAAAACUACUUUUUUAGUGUACAGCAAUUAUUUUCAAUAUAAAUUAUAUUUUAAAUGUACUAAAAAUUAAAAACACUAUAUAGUUUAAAUUUCUAUAUAUCUACAAGAUACUAACUUUUACUGAAUUUUUGAAUUUUGAUUUCAGUAAUACGUAUCUAUAAAAAAUUGAAAAUCUCUUAAUUAUAAUUUGAAUCUAAUUUAAAUAAUUGAUUCUAUUUUUCUCAAAUCUAAUCUAAUCAAACUAUCGUAUCAACAUCGUAAUUUAUCUUUAAAAAAAACCUAAAUUUAAACAUAUAAAUUUAAUAUAUAAUAAUACAUUUAAGAAAUUCAA